GAUGAACGCUGGCGGCGUGCCUAAUACAUGCAAGUCGAGCGAACAGACGAGGAGCUUGCUCCUCUGACGUUAGCGGCGGACGGGUGAGUAACACGUGGAUAACCUACCUAUAAGACUGGGAUAACUUCGGGAAACCGGAGCUAAUACCGGAUAAUAUAUUGAACCGCAUGGUUCAAUAGUUAAAGACGGUUUUGCUGUCACUUAUAGAUGGAUCCGCGCCGCAUUAGCUAGUUGGUAAGGUAACGGCUUACCAAGGCAACGAUGCAUAGCCGACCUGAGAGGGUGAUCGGCCACACUGGAACUGAGACACGGUCCAGACUCCUACGGGAGGCAGCAGUAGGGAAUCUUCCGCAAUGGGCGAAAGCCUGACUGAGCAACGCCGCGUGAGUGAUGAAGGUCUUCGGAUCGUAAAACUCUGUUAUUAGGGAAGAACAAAUGUGUAAGUAACUAUGCACGUCUUGACGGUACCUAAUCAGAAAGCCACGGCUAACUACGUG
rnacentral:rRNA from 1 species